rnacentral:lncRNA from 1 species
AUUAUUUUUUUUUAUAGGAAUUAAACAGAAUUUUUCUCCCCAUCCCAAAAAUUAAAAUUGUGUCUUAGUCUAAAAUGACAAAAAGGAAGUAAUAAAUGCACGCAAUAAUUUCUGAAUUUACAGUACAUCAUGCAUACAAAUAAUAAAAUGUUCACACAAUUAGAUUAACAUCUCAAUAUGAUUCAUUUAUAAUCUGCAAUAAUGGCUGAUCCAGGGGGAGGAAUUUCCGGGGUUGGAACCCCCCCUUUUUUUUGGGACGAUCAAUGUAUUUGAAUGGGGACAUGUAGUUUGAACCCCUGCUCUUUUUGUCCUGGGUUAGGAACCCCCUUUUUAAAAAUGGCUGGAUCCGCCCCUGUAAUCUGUGUAGAAAUAGAUCUCCUGAUGGGUUAGUGUAACUACACUAUACAAGCAUAAGUUUACUCUGGUGUUGAUCUUCUUACCUACAUAACUAUUGCUGUUGGAGAAUUCACCUUUUCAGAAUCUAAAGGACUAUGGGUAAUUUCAUUGUUCGUACACCAAAAUAAAAAUAAAGUUAUGUCAUUGGUUGAAUUUCCAUUGAUUAGAACGUUAUCACAACGUUUUGGUGUAUGCUUUUGAAAUUAUUACCCAGAAUUGUUAGAUUCUGAAGCUGUGAAUUACAUGACUUUUACAAGAGGAUCAGAAAGAAUAGAAUCUACUUUUUAUGUUUUCAUGACUACUCUUACAGUCUUUUCGACACACACAACCAAUUGAGUAUUUGGUAGUUUAACUUUAGUAUAAGACAUCUUACAACCUAUCACACUAACAUGCUUAAGAAAAGACAACAUGCCUUUUCUCUCUCUUUGUCCAACUUUGGACUACAGUAGUGAGCUACGUAGCUUUAAUAAUUAUGUCAAUACAGCUUAACAUGAAACUCUAGACACAGUAUGUUACUGUAAACCAACUAUUUUAGCAGAUACUUUAUUUUGCGUUUAGCCCUUUCUGGUCCAUGUCACAAGAUUUAAUUUAGUGAUUUACAUAUUCCCAACGAUUUAUAUUUGUGAUAUUAUUUUUCUUGCAAAGUCGCAAAAAUAAAACCAUCGCGAAAAUUACUUGCUUUACAGUAUAUGGUUGGAUAUCCUACUGACAGUAAGACAGUGAAGAGCUCAGACUGGCAUUGGAAUAAGAUCAAAGCUUCUGAUUGUGGUUCAUAAGCUAUGUAGUCUGACUGUGUGUAUCUGAAUCUCUCCAUAUUGGUAAUACAUAACUAGGAUACAUAAAGCACAAGAGUUAUUCCCCUUUAAUGAUGUUUUUACUAAAAGAUGGCCAUCUUAAUCUCUCCAUAUUGGUAAUACACAGCUAGGAUACAUAAAGGAGGGUGGUAAAGGGUUAUUUUCGUGCUAUGUAUUUUGCUAUUUUUAUUUCACUUGCAGCCGUGAAAAGGGUUUAGUUAUUCACCGUGUUUCGUGAAAUCGGUAAAAAGAUCAACAUGCAAGACACUUUUAAUUGUUUGUUCAUUGUGAAAAGGCAAUUUUAUUUAGCGUUCUUCCGUGCAGAUACCCCCCCCCCCUUUUAAGCCCCUCUUAAAGCAUACAAAUACAAAGUUAUAAAAUGUUUACACAAUAACAUUUGAAUCUGAUUCGUCAGUCUGUGUAGACAUAGAUCUCCGCACAGCAGGUGUUUGAGUAGCUAUACUGUUGACUGUCACUGGAGUAUGAGAUAUUCCACCUAACAUGUGAUCCAGUAGAUACAUAAAGCAUACAAAUACAAUGUAAUAAAAUGUUUACACAAUAACAUUUGAAUCUGAUUCGUCAGUCUGUGUCGACAUAGAUCUCAAUACAGCAGGUGUUUGAGUAGCUAUACUGUUGACUGUCACUGGAGUAUGAGAUAUUCCACCUAACAUGUGUUCCAGGAGAUACAUAAAGCAUACAAAUACAAUGUAAUAAAAUAUUUACACAAUAACAUUUGAAUCUGAUUCGUCAGUCUGUGUCGACAUAGAUCUCCGUACAGCAGGUGUUUGAGUAGCUAUACUGUUGACUGUCACUGGAGUACGAGAUAUUCCACCCAACAUGUGAUCCAGCAGUAUAUUACGCCUACUAAUAGAUGAGCUGGUACUGGCUCUUUCUUCAUCUUCUGAUACUUUUAGUGAUCUGAAAAAGAAAAUAUCAAUUGUGAAAUAAACUAAAGGCCUGUGUCACUAAACUGCAUAUUCAACAAUGGCCAUCGUUUAGUAAAAACAUCAUUAAAGGGGAACAACUCCUGUGUAUAUCUUAUGCUGUUAAUUUUCCUUUUUUAAGUUUCUAUUUAUCUAUUAUAGUUGUUUAAGUUAAC